GUUCUGCAUGUCACAGAGGAAGUAGGCAUAUUUGAGGAAGACUUUCUCAAGGAUUUUUUUCAGAAGUUACACGGAAUAUGUCUGCCUCUCCUGUCUCACCUCCUUCACCUCUUCCACCUCUGCCACCCUGAGACAGCAAGAAAAACUCCACCCUUUUUUCCUCUUCCUGAGCCUAUCAACAUGAGGACAAUGGGAAUGAAGAUUUUAUGAUGAUCCACACCCACUAAGUGAAUAGCCACAGAACUGCCAGCUCCUUUACAUCCUUUUUUGGUUCCACAUGAGGCCUGAGAGACAUGCAUUGGAAUUCCAGUGGGAGUAACACCCAGAUCCUCUGUAUGUAAAAAGGAAUUGAAGAAAGGAUUGGAGGUCUUAAAG
rnacentral:lncRNA from 1 species